rnacentral:rRNA from 1 species
GAUGAACGCUGGCGGUGCGCCUAAUACAUGCAAGUCGAGCGAGACUUGCUCAGAGUUUACUUUGAGCAAUGACAGCGGCGGACGAGUGAGUAACACGUAAGAACCUACCCCACAGUCAGGGAUAACUCGGCGAAAGUCGGGCUAAUACCGGAUGUCCUCUACGGAGGAAAGAUUUAUCGCUGUGGGAGGGGCUUGCGGCCUAUCAGUUUGUUGGUGAGGUAAGAGCUCACCAAGACUAUGACGGGUAGCUGGUCUGAGAGGAUGAUCAGCCACGAUGGAACUGAGACACGGUCCAUACUCCUACGGGAGGCAGCAGUAAGGAAUAUUCCGCAAUGGGCGAAAGCCUGACGGAGCGACACCGCGUGGAGGAUGACGGCCCUUGGGUUGUAAACUCCUUUUAUGAGGGAAGAAGAUCUGACGGUACCUCAUGAAUAAGCCCCGGCUAAUUACG